AUGGACGUGAGGAUCCUUUCCCCAAAUGAUCGACUAUGGUUAUUACUGUGCGCAAAUGUAAUCCUUUAUCAAAGAAUUCCAAGCCAGAAAUCUGAUCCAU
rfam:Hordeum vulgare subsp. vulgare, WGS project CAJW01000000 data, contig: morex_contig_39398